rnacentral:ncRNA from 1 species
CUUCCGUUCUCCCCGCACAGGAGAGCGGAUCGAGACCGAAGCGCUCUCUGCCCUGACUGCGCGGAGGUCUCCGAUCGACCGGUCCCAGGACGGUGGCGCCCCACCGCACACGGGGCUUCCUCCGACCGCACGUCGGGACCGGCCGAUGUGAGCUCCGGGCUGCGGUGCCGGACAGGUUGAGGGUCCUGUCCUGGCGC